rnacentral:rRNA from 1 species
CGAACCUACCCUUUAAACCGGGACAACAGUUGGAAACGACUGCUAAUACCGGAUGAGCUUGCCGAGGGACAUCCCUUGGUAAGGAAAGAUGGCCUCUGUAUAUGCUAUCGAUAAAGGAUGGGCCCGCGUCUGAUUAGCUAGUUGGUGAGGUAAUGGCCCACCAAGGCGACGAUCAGUAGCCGGCCUGAGAGGGUGAUCGGCCACACUGGGACUGAGACACGGCCCAG